ACUUGUUUGUAUACAACCACGCCCGGCAGGAUGACCACCAGAUGACCGGCCGCAGCAAUGCCUCCACUCAGUCCCAGUUGGGCAAAGUUUCACUCCACUGCGGCGACGUGAACAAGAAUCACGGCUUCCUUAUCAAUAUUUCCAAUCCAUGGUUGGGUGCGGAACCUGCGGAUACAGAGGACUGACUAUAAUAUCAAGAGAUCAUAAGGCUGUCGGAAUGGACUCUUUGUGGCAAUAAGAUACCAUAUUAUAAACAGGACCCAAGGUCAUGCCAGGAGGCUCGUGUGGUCCCUGUUUGUCAUCCAGUCAAUACGGCCAUCAGCUUCUGGCCCCAGACACCUUUCCUCUGCACUGUGGCACAGAGGAGCAGACUGCUUUGGAGGGCAGCUUCCUGGGAGCUCCAGGGACCCUGGCCAGGCGGCCACUGCCACUGACUUCCUCGGCUCACUGAGCCCGUGCCUGCAGCUCUCGUGUUUCCUCUGUGCUGCAGUGGACGCUUAUCUUCCCCCGAUGGCACAUUUCUUUGUCACAGACAGGACCCUCACUGGCAGUCGGAGGACAUCAAGCCCUAGUACAGGAAGGGACAUUUUCACACUAAUCUGUGCCAGCUGGAGCAGUCCUGCCAUCUGAACAUCAUAUUUUGGAACCCUGAGAAGCUAGGAUGCAGUUAACAGCUAGAUGUCAAUUCCCUGCAGGCAGAGACCAGUUCUCUGCUGCCAUGUCUUUAAGGCCUGAUGCACCAUAGAUUAAUUCAAAUCCAGUGUCUACCACUCACUCGGCUUAAUGUAAGACAAGAUGAAGACUCCAGACUUCAGAACUUCAGUGUCCAGGGAAGGGGCUGAAAUACCAGACUGCGAUGUACCAUCUCUUGGUUGCUAUGACUGAGGCCAUUAAAAUGGCAGGCAUUAAAAGACUGCACCUCAGUACCCAGCUACAAAGCCUCAAGGUCACUGCAUUCCACAGCUUCCCGUCGCCUUUCAUUCCUGGCCUCAGAGCUUCAAUAUCCUGGCGAGAUCCCCUCGCAUUAUAUUUCAUGAGGCUUAAAUGCAAGCUCUCCCACAGCAAGCCCGAGAGUAUAAUGGGGGUUUUAAUACAUUCCUUUUACCUAAGGCUGGGAUCCAUUUCAAAAAGUUACCCAAUAGGUUUCCUUUCAGGUGAGCUCAUUGCUCUGACAUUCCAAAAUGACAUUAAAAAAUAAAUCCUCUGAUGACUAUAUUAAUACAGUACCUGGGACACUGAGAGUUAUGCCGGAAAACGUCUUAGAUGUCUAUAAAUAAAUCUUAGAAAAAAAACCCAGCAGGAGGAAUGUGAGGAGCUAAUGGAAUUCAAAAGGCCUCAUUGCUACCCCCUUAGAGUUGAAAUCCACUCCGGGCCGACUGUCGCAGCAGAUAUAAAAAGCCAGCCACAGGCUGAAGCUGUAUUAGAAAAUACUGAGGCAAUAGAAUAUUAAUCUUUUUCUCCAAAGAAAAGCCACGGACUAUGCUCCUUGGAAGAUGGCUUCCUUUGCUAUAAGAAGUACACUAAUUAAACAUGUACAAGGUUAAAUCCUGGCAACAUGCAGCUGCUUCAGGGAUCAGUCCUUCUUGACUUCAGGUGGGAGGCAUUCCCCGCAGAGGCAAGAUAUACAUGAGGCAGUGUGGGGAGAAUGACGUCAGCCUCCCAAACUGGCACAAGGACCUGUGUGUGGCCUUAGGAUCAAAAGCGUCCUUCUUUCUGCUUUCCUAAAAACAUAUCUUGAAAUUGCCUUUUAUGCCUCAACCCAUCUUCCUUGAGAUGCCGUUUCUCCAAGGAAGUGCUCUGUGCCCUCUCAGCCUUGCAGGUCUGGCUGUGUCAAGUGCCACUGUGCACUACUGAGGGACUGGAGGAACUGAAAAGCAUUUUGGUCAUAGGAGGGAAUAGCCACGGGAGAAGUCAGGCCUCAGACACUCUUGUUUGAAUAUGGAUGUUUGAGCCUUAGCUGGUAGAAUAAAACACUCUUUCAGAGUUUGAAAUAGUUUUACUGCAAAUGGAGUGGAAAGCGAAGUUUCCAAGGUUUUAUAAACAACCUGAUAUAAACACAGCAGUGUUGUAGGUCAAAGCAGAUGUGGUGAACAGAACUUACAAAGACAUAUAUGUGUAUCAGUUUAUUUUUUCCACGUUCAUUUCAACCUCAGCAGAGCUAGCAACACUAACACUCCCCAGUGGCAGAGCCAACAACAGGGCUCUAGAGGCUCCAAACUUGGGGUCCUCUUGGGUGUCCUUGGAUAGAAUUCAAGGGGUCCAUAAACUAGAAUAGAAAAAAUUAUAUAUUUUCACUAGUCUCUAGCUGAAAGAUAAUGUUUACUUCAAUUAUGGAUGUAGAAAAAUCCCUAUAGUGUUAGUACUACUGUGAUUUUCUCAAUAGAAAUCAUGAUAUUUUCACAUCAAUUACAGUUGUAGAUAUAAAUCUGUAAUAUACCUGUAGCAUCUGUUUCACUGUAAAUAUAUAUUACAUAUAAUAUAUAGAGAUGAUUCCCCUUGAAAUUCGAAGUAUUUUAUUUUACUUAUUUGAAACCAUUCUAAGAGGAGACUCGUAGCCUUCUUCAGGUUGCUAAAGGGGUCCAUAUACAAAAAUGGUUAGGAGUCCCUGUACUAGGGAAACUUCCCAGCAGAAUGGAGCAAGUCGUGUCCUAAGACACUAUCUACACUACUGAAAUCCUCCAUUUUGGCUAAAUGACAAAGCACUGGCAAAAGAGUCAGAAGGACUGCGUUCUGAUCUCUAACUUAUUGCAUGUCCUUUGGCAAGAAAGACAUUCAAGCUUCUUGCUAUUCAUAAGAACACAGCUACUCAUGCUUACAAUGUGCCAGGUGCUCUGCUAACUACAUUUGGUUGCCACAAUGAUGGUUCAGUCAACAACAGACCACAUGUAUGACAGUGGUCCUGUAAGAUUAUAAUAUCAUAUUUUUACUGUAUUUUUCUAUGUUUAGAUAUGUUUGAAAUACACAAAUACUUACCAUUGUGUUACAAUUGCCUACAGUAGUCAGUAGAGGAACAUGCUGUACAGGUUUGUAGCCUAGGAGCAAUAGGUUACACCAUAUGGCCUAGGUAUGUAGUAAGCUAUACCAUCUAGGUUUGUGUAAGUACACUCUAUGAUGUUCCCUUAAUGAGGAACUCACAUAAUGAUGCGUUUCUCAGAAUGCAUCCCUCUUUGUAAAUAUUACUUCCUGUAGUCAUUACAGCAACCUUCUGUGGUUCUAUUGUAAUAUUUAUUUUGCAGAUAAGAAAAUUAAACCUUAGAACUGUUAAGUAAUCCAUCCACAGUCCUAUCCAGCUAGGAAGCAACAUAAAUGAAAACUUUCUCCAAAGCUAUUAGAUAUCAUAGUCUAGCAAGCUAGGAUAACAAUUCCUGCCCUACUUACCUCGUAGGAUUUUUGUGAUGCUCAAAUGAAUAAUAGAUACAUUAGAUUUAAACAGUACUUCCCACCCUUCAAAACAAGUUAUGAAUAUUUUAAAAUGAUUGUUAUUGAGAUUUUCAAGUAUAGCAAAAUGUUGAGUUUUGGAAAUAACCAGUGAAAAGACAAGAUGCUAUCAAAGAGACUUUUGAAUUACAUUUCAUAUUUAAGUGGCAAUAUAAUUAUUACAAGGAAUAGCUGAUGGACUGUAUAAGGAUCUAUGUUAAUGCUAGAUAAAAAUGGAAUCAAAUUUAUGCUUGUUAGUGUUGUGCUACACGGCUUGAUAAGUUUUUCUCAUAAGUAAAUAAAAUAUGUGCCCUUCAA
rnacentral:lncRNA from 1 species